GCAUUAGUAGCUUAAUAUAGAGCGCCGGCCUUGUAAGCCGGCUGGUGGAGGUUCGACCCCUCCCUACUGUU
rnacentral:tRNA from 1 species